GUACUAGUCAUCUGUGUUUAUUUCACAAACCAACUACUAACACACAACUUGACUAAAGAAAGAGAAGAGUUACUAACACACAACUAUAACCACAUAAAAAACAAAAGUGAUGAACUUCAAGAUGCCUUACAAGAGAAAACCCAGCUAAUACUCCAGAUCAAUAACUUAACCAAAGAAAGAGAUGAGUUAAUGAAUGAAAGAGAAGAACUGAAGAGAUGGCUUACUGAACAAGAUCGGCGCUCUGAUAACUUUUGGAUUUACUACAACUUCAGUUUUUAUUACAUUUCAUCUGUGUGGAGUAGCAGGAGUGACAGCAGACAAGACUGUGAACAGAGAGGAGCAAAUCUGCUGAUUAUAAACAACAAAG